AUUCCUACGGGGCGCAGCAGUGGGGAAUAUUGGGCAAUGGGCGCAAGCCUGACCCAGCAACGCCGCGUGAAGGAAGAAGGCUUUCGGGUUGUAAACUUCUUUUAUGAGGGACGAAAGAAAUGACGGUACCUCAUGAAUAAGCCACGGCUAACUACGUGCCAGCAGCCGCGGUAAUACGUAGGGGGCAAGCGUUGUUCGGAAUGACUGGGCGUAAAGGGUGUGUAGGCGGUGUAGCAAGUUAGAAGUGAAAUACCUAGAGCUUAACUCAGGUGCUGCUUCUAAAACUGCUAUACUUGAGUGCAGUA
rnacentral:rRNA from 1 species